AUUGAACGCUGGCGGCAUGCCUUACACAUGCAAGUCGAACGGCAGCGGGCCUUCGGGUGCCGGCGAGUGGCGAACGGGUGAGUAAUGCAUCGGAACGUGCCAUUGAGUGGGGGGAUAACGUAGCGAAAGUUACGCUAAUACCGCAUAUUCUGUGAGCAGGAAAGCAGGGGACCGCAAGGCCUUGCGCUCUUUGAGCGGCCGAUGUCAGAUUAGCUAGUUGGUGAGGUAAAAGGCUUACCAAGGCGACGAUCUGUAGCGGGUCUGAGAGGAUGAUCCGCCACACUGGAACUGAGACACGGUCCAGACUCCUACGGGAGGCAGCAGUGGGGAAUUUUGGACAAUGGGCGCAAGCCUGAUCCAGCCAUGCCGCGUGAGUGAAGAAGGCC
rnacentral:rRNA from 1 species